CCUACGGGAGGCAGCAGUGGGGAAUUUUGGACAAUGGACGCAAGUCUGAUCCAGCCAUGCCGCGUGCGGGAAGAAGGCCUUCGGGUUGUAAACCGCUUUUGUCAGGGAAGAAACGGGUUUCUCUAAUACAGAGACCUAAUGACGGUACCUGAAGAAUAAGCACCGGCUAACUACGUGCCAGCAGCCGCGGUAAUACGUAGGGUGCAAGCGUUAAUCGGAAUUACUGGGCGUAAAGCGUGCGCAGGCGGUUAUGCAAGACAGAGGUGAAAUCCCCGGGCUCAACCUGGGAACUGCCUUUGUGACUGCAUAGCUAGAGUACGGUAGAGGGGGAUGGAAUUCCGCGUGUAGCAGUGAAAUGCGUAGAUAUGCGGAGGAACACCGAUGGCGAAGGCAAUCCCCUGGACCUGUACUGACGCUCAUGCACGAAAGCGUGGGGAGCAAACAGGAUUAGAUACCCUGGUAGUCCACGCCCUAAACGAUGUCAACUGGUUGUUGGAGGGUUUCUUCUCAGUAACGAAGCUAACGCGUGAAGUUGACCGCCGUCGGGAGGUACGGCCGCGAGGUUAGAACGUACGAAGAAAGUUAGACGGCGUGAGACGUGCCGAACGGACGACGACGAGGGAGGUUAGG
rnacentral:rRNA from 1 species